GCUCUCCCCUGACAAGGAAGCCGACGGGAAGGAAGGUGCACGGAGCUACCAGGAUAAGUACCUGCACCAGCAAAAGAGACGGCCACCACGCCACCAGAAAGGGGACAGGGCUAUAAAGGGGAAUCAAAAGCACAGAGGGAUGCCUAUGGACAAUGGUAUCUUCAGCCAGCUGUUAGCAGGCCUGAAGUCCAGGUUUGAGGCUGAAGAAGGGGGAGUCAGGGAAGACAUGUCUAAGGAGCAGGAGAAAGAAGGUAAAGCAAUGGAUGAGUCCCCAC